rnacentral:rRNA from 1 species
CCCUGAUGCAGCCAUGCCGCGUGUGUGAAGAAGGCCUUCGGGUUGUAAAGCACUUUCAGUAGGGAGGAAGGUAGUGUAGUUAACACCUGCAUUAUUUGACGUUACCUACAGAAGAAGCACCGGCUAACUCCGUGCCAGCAGCCGCGGUAAUACGGAGGGUGCGAGCGUUAAUCGGAAUUACUGGGCGUAAAGCGCAUGCAGGCGGCCUGUUAAGUCAGAUGUGAAAGCCCGGGGCUUAACCUCGGAAUUGCAUUUGAAACUGGCAGGCUAGAGUCUUGUAGAGGGGGGUAGGAAUUUCAGGUGUAGCGGUGAAAUGCGUAGAGAUCUGAAGGAAUACCAGUGGCGAAGGCGGCCCCCUGGACAAAGACUGACGCUCAGAUGCGAAAGCGUGGGGAGCAAACAGGAUUAGAUACCCUGGUAG